rnacentral:tRNA from 1 species
GCCCACGUAGCUCAGGUGGUAGAGUACUUGCUUGGUAAGCAAGAGGUCUCCGGUUCGAGUCCGGUCGUGGGCUCCA